AUUGAACGCUGGCGGCAGGCCUAACACAUGCAAGUCGAGCGGAGCGACUGACGGGUGAGUAAUGCCUAGGAAUCUGCCUGGUAGUGGGGGAUAACGUCCGGAAACGGGCGCUAAUUACGAAUACUAGCAGAUGAGCCUAGGUCGAUUUAGCGAGUUGGUGGGGUAAAGGCCGACCAAGGCGACGAUCCGUAACUGGUCUGAGAGGAUGAUCAGUCACACUGGAACUGAGACACGGUCCAGACUCCUACGGGAGGCAGCAGUGGGGAAUAUUGGACAAUGGGCGAAAUCCUGAUGCAGCCAUGCCGCGUGUGUGAAGAAGGUCUUCGGAUUGUAAAGCACUUUAAGUUGGGAGGCGUUACCAACAGAAUAAGCACCGGCUAACUUCGUGCCAGCAGCCGCGGUAAUUC
rnacentral:rRNA from 1 species